UACGUAGGGGGCAAGCGUUGUCCGGAUUUAUUGGGCGUAAAGAGCGUGUAGGCGGCCAGGUAGGUGGUUGUGAAAACUGGAGGCUUAACCUCCAGACGUCGAUGGAAACCGUAUGGCUAGAGUCCGGAAGAGGAGAGUGGAAUUCCUGGUGUAGCGGUGAAAUGCGCAGAUAUCAGGAAGAACACCCGUGGCGAAGGCGGCUUUCUGGGACGGUACUGACGCUGAGACGCGAAAGCGUGGGAGCGAACAGG
rnacentral:rRNA from 1 species